GACGAACGCUGGCGGCGUGCUUAACACAUGCAAGUCGAGCGGUAAGGCCCUUUCGGGGUACGACGAGCGGCGAACGGGUGAGUAACACGUGGGUGACCUGCCCUCAGCUCUGGGAGUAAGCCUGGGAAACCGGGUCUAAUACUGGAUAUGACUCCAUGACGCAUGUUGUGGGGUGGAAAGCCUUGUGCGGCUGAGGAUGGGCCCGCGGCCUAUCAGCUUGUUGGUGGGGUGAGGCCUACCAAGGCGACGACGGGUAGCCGGCCUGAGAGGGCGACCGGCCACACUGGGACUGAGACACGGCCCAGACUCCUACGGGAGGCAGCAGUGGGGAAUCUUGCGCAA
rnacentral:rRNA from 1 species